GUCUUUCAUGUUACCCUUUGUCCC
rnacentral:piRNA from 1 species